rnacentral:lncRNA from 1 species
UGGUGCUUCAGCAUUCCUAAGUGUGCUCACAUCUGUGGUGGGGUGCAUGUGGGGGCAGGGUUGCUGGUCUUCAGGCUUACGCUUGCCCCAGUGGCAGCUGGGGCAGUAAGCUGAUGGGGGCAGGGUUGUUGGCCUUCAUGCAUGCUUUUGCACAAUCAGUAGUGGCAGUGCAGGGGUGGAGGGGUUGCUGGCAUCUGUGUGUUCAUUUGCAGUGGUGGUAGUGACACUUGACUGGUAUUCUAAGGCAAAGACAACUGGCCUUUAAAAUCUACCACUAUGUACCCUCGAAUGUAAUUAUUUAUGGAUGGCACGCAUAGCCUACUUCUGUGACUGGCUUUGCUGACAAUCAUACAGCUCAGUUUUCUAUCCCUUAAUCAAAACUCAGCAGACACAGUGGCUCACGCCUGUAAUCUCAGCACUUCGGGAGGCCAAGGCAGGUGGAUCACCUGUCAGGAAUUCAACACCAGCCUGUCCAACAUUGUGAAACCCCAUCUCUACUAAAAAUAAAACAAUUAGCUGGGUUUAUGGUGCGUGCCUGUAGUCCCAGCUAGUAAGGAGGCUGAGGCCCGAGAAUCAUUUGAACUCAGGAGGCAGUGUUUGCAGUGAGUUGAAAUUGCAACACUGCAUUCCAGCCUAGGCAACAAUGAGGCUCCAUCCAAAAAAAAAAAAAAAUAGCUUUUCUUCUCAAAUCUACUGCAGACUCCUAGAAGGCAAGGGCUGUAGCUUACCAAAAUUAAAAUGAAAUUGUCCAAGCUCCUGAAAUGUUUUAUUAUUAUGGCUUUUUUAUUACAAUAAAAUAUACAUAACAUUUACCAUAUCAACCAUUUUGAAGUGUUCAUUUAAAGCAGCAUUAAGAAUAUUUAUGUUUCUGGGCACAGUGGCUCAUGCCUGAAGUCGCAGCACUUUGGGAGGCCAACCUGGGUGUACCAUUUGAGGUCAAGAGUUUGAGAUCAGCCUGACCAACAUGGUGAACG